GUGAAAAAAAAAAAAAAAAAAAAAAAAAAAAAAA
rnacentral:ribozyme from 1 species